rnacentral:lncRNA from 1 species
UAAUACAAAAAUUGUUUUGUCUGCAUUAAACAGAAUUUUUUUUUCAGUGAAAGAAAAGGAAAAGGGCAUGGAAGGGGAUAAAUAGAUUGCAGACAUGCAAACAGAACGAUGACACUGCAAAAGGUUUUAUCAGGGUAUUUGGAAAUUUGAGAGGAGAGAGAGUCUGAAUAGAACACAACUGGGAUUGUGGAAAGCAAGUGGAAACUUUAGUAAUCAGGAGAAAACAGUACCCACUGAUUCUCAGGUGACCUGGUAAUUUAACUCAGCUCCCCCUACCCUCUUGAGCAGUUGGAUUGACUUGCAGAGAAGAUCUAGACCAGCACCUUUACCUUUGUGCAAUUCAAAGUUGCAGUUAAUGACAUCGCCAUGAUCACUGAAAACUG